CAGAAUAUCAAGUGUCAAUGAGCUGUCUCAUUUUUAAUCCCAACAUUGCAUAACUAUUAAAGCAAAACCCAAGAAACAUUUCCGAGCCAAAAUUCAAGUUUUUUCUGGGCUUCUAAUGCCAGUUGUUCUCCUAGAGUGUAAUACACUCUAACAAAAAAUUCUAGGAGCUGUUCUCCAAGUGUAUGUCUGCAAUUUCAAAAAGACUCACGCUGCCAUCUGCUUCUUCUGAUAAGAGACUCAUCUGUCUGCUGCAAAGAUACCUGUGUUGGAGAGAUCAUUCUGGAGGGGAUAUUGAGGAUGGAGUAGAGGAAGCCUGCAUAGAGUAUACAAAAUUUCUUCCACCACCAUGUGCCCAGUACAAGAGUAGAAACCCAAGUUCCCUUCAGCUUCCAGCUACAGCCAGCCUAGUGGACGCAUCUUGCAAUUUGUUGCUUGAAUCCUGA
rnacentral:lncRNA from 12 species